rnacentral:lncRNA from 1 species
CGCCUAAGCUGUUAGGCUGCUGCCCCUCUUAGUGCCCAAAGGAGUUGGGCCAAUCCUUGAAGUACGCUUGAAGGAGUUCAGGCGCCGUCCAAGUGAAGGAAGAAAAGGCUGUGUCAAGGAUUGAUUUGACAGCCCCUCAGAGAUCAGUUUUGUAACUGAUCAAGGAGCCAUUUGAUCCACCAUAGCAUAGGCGGAUCAAAUCCGAAGAAAGCAUCCCAGGCCAGGUC